rnacentral:rRNA from 1 species
GAUGAACGUUGGCGGCGUGCCUAAUACAUGCAAGUCGAGCGAACGGACGAGAAGCUUGCUUCUCUGAAGUUAGCGGCGGACGGGUGAGUAACACGUGGAUAACCUACCUAUAAGACUGGGAUAACUUCGGGAAACCGGAGCUAAUACCGGAUAAUAUUUUGAACCGCAUGGUUCAAAAGUGAAAGACGGUCUUGCUGUCACUUAUAGAUGGAUCCGCGCUGCAUUAGCUAGUUGGUAAGGUAACGGCUUACCAAGGCAACGAUGCAUAGCCGACCUGAGAGGGUGAUCGGCAACACUGGAACUGAGACACGGUCCAGACUCCUACGGGAGGCAGCAGUAGGGAAUCUUCCGCAAAGGGCGAAAGCCUGACGGAGCAACGCCGCGUGAGUGAUGAAGGUCUUCGGAUCGUAAAACUCUGUUAUUAGGGAAGAACAUAUGUGUAAGUAACUGUGCACAUCUUGACGGUACCUAAUCAGAAAGCCACGGCUAACUACGUG